AAGUCAUCAUGGCCCUUACGACCAGGGCUACACACGUGCUACAAUGGCGCAUACAAAGAGAAGCGACCUCGCGAGAGCAAGCGGACCUCAUAAAGUGCGUCGUAGUCCGGAUUGGAGUCUGCAACUCGACUCCAUGAAGUCGGAAUCGCUAGUAAUCGUGGAUCAGAAUGCCACGGUGAAUACGUUCCCGGGCCUUGUACACACCGCCCGUCACACCAUGGGAGUGGGUUGCAAAAGAAGUAGGUAGCUUAACCUUCGGGAGGGCGCUUACCACUUUGUGAUUCAUGACUGGGGUGAAGUCGUAACAAGGUAACCGUAGGGGAACCUGCGGUUGGAUCACCUCCUUACCUUAAAGAA
rnacentral:rRNA from 1 species